rnacentral:rRNA from 1 species
UACGGGGGGGGCAAGCGUUGUUCGGAAUUACUGGGCGUAAAGGGCUCGUAGGCGGCCAACUAAGUCAUACGUGAAAUCCCUCGGCUUAACCGGGGAACUGCGUCUGAUACUGGAUGGCUUGAGUUCGGGAGAGGGAUGCGGAAUUCCAGGUGUAGCGGUGAAAUGCGUAGAUAUCUGGAGGAACACCGGUGGCGAAGGCGGCGAUCCUAGGGACCGGAUACGUACCGCUGAUGAGCGAAAGCCAGGGGAGCAAAACGGG